rnacentral:rRNA from 1 species
AGAGUUUGAUCAUGGCUCAGAUUGAACGCUGGCGGUAUGCUUAACACAUGCAAGUCGAACGGCAGCACAGACUGUAGCAAUACAGUUGGGUGGCGAGUGGCGGACGGGUGAGUAACGCGUGGGAAUCUGUCUUAAAGUGGGGGAUAACUCGAGGAAACUCGAGCUAAUACCGCAUAUCUAGCUUGCUAGAAAGGGGGCCUCUUCUUGAAAGCUCUCGCUUUAAGGUGAGCCUGCGUCUGAUUAGCUAGUUGGUAGGGUAAAGGCCUACCAAGGCAAUGAUCAGUAGCUGUUCUGAGAGGAAGACCAGCCACACUGGGACUGAGACACGGCCCAGACUCCUACGGGAGGCAGCAGUGGGGAAUAUUGGACAAUGGGGGAAACCCUGAUCCAGCAAUACCGCGUGUGUGAAGAAGGCCUGCGGGUUGUAAAGCACUUUUAUUGGGGAGGAAAAGUUAAAAGCUAAUACCUUUUAACCAUGACGCUACCCAAAGAAAAAGCACCGGCUAACUCUGUGCCAGCAGCCGCGGUAAUUC